CAUUGUUCAGAAAAUAAAAAUAAAAACUCGUUCUUUCUUCUUCGGUGUUCGGUGGGUCGCUCAAAGAUAACGAAAUUUGCAUCCUCGAUCUGUGUUCUGUUUGCUACGCGGUGGUCAGGUUCAACGUUGAUUUGGAAACCGAAAUCUCAUGGAACUGUUAGUGGAGGACUGUAACUGAAUUUAAAAGCAUCCUGGUGGAUAAGGGGAAGGUUGAUGGUUCAGGUGUUGGUGUUAAUGUGGCUUCAUGCCAAAUUAGAGCAACUUUCUAUACCCAAAAAAUGAAAAUUCAGAUCAAGAGGUUGGGUUAAUAGGUUUGCGAAUGCUGGCGAUACUGCCAUGGAAGUUGCUGGGAAUACAGCAUUACGGAGUUUAUCAGAGCAAGUAAAUGUGAGUUGGAGAUUAAAAAUUGACAUGGAAGUAUCUUGGUGUGUCCAUCUAAGACUAACUAAAGGCAUGCUACUUUUACCUUGUGUUCAUCAUUAUGGUCAAGUCAUUUGAUAAAGUCUGAUGAAGUUGCACAUAUUCUAUGGUUAUAACAAGGGCACAAUUGUUA